rnacentral:rRNA from 1 species
UGGGGAAUUUUGGACAAUGGGCGAAAGCCUGAUCCAGCAAUGCCGCGUGUGUGAAGAAGGCCUUCGGGUUGUAAAGCACUUUUGUCCGGAAAGAAAUCCUUGGCUCUAAUACAGUCGGGGGAUGACGGUACCGGAAGAAUAAGCACCGGCUAACUACGUGCCAGCAGCCGCGGUAAUACGUAGGGUGCAAGCGUUAAUCGGAAUUACUGGGCGUAAAGCGUGCGCAGGCGGUUUGCUAAGACCGAUGUGAAAUCCCCGGGCUCAACCUGGGAAACUGCAUUGGUGACUGGCAGGCUAGAGUAUGGCAGAGGGGGGUAGAAUUCCACGUGUAGCAGUGAAAUGCGUAGAGAUGUGGAGGAAUACCGAUGGCGAAGGCAGCCCCCUGGGCCAAUACUGACGCUCAUGCACGAAAGCGUGGGGAGCAAACAGGAUUAGAUACCCUGGUAGUCCACGCCCUAAAACGAUGUCAACUAGUUGUUGGGGAUUCAUUUCCUUAGUAGCGUAGCUAACGCGUGAAGUUGACCGCCUGGGGAGUACGGUCGCAAGA